GCUGCCGUAGCUCAGUGGUAGAGCACUCCCUUGGUAAGGGAGAGGUCCGCAGUUCAAUCCUGCGCGGCAGCACCA
rnacentral:tRNA from 1 species